UAUAUAUAUAUAUAUUUUAGCAUUAUUUUAUAAUUAAAAUUUUAAAAAUCUACACAUAAAACUUAAAUUAGUAGGUGUUUAAAGUUUUUUAUAAGUAUUAAAUUGAAAAUUUUGAGUAAAGUUAGUAUUCUUAUAAAUUUAUUAAUAAAUCGACUAAUAAAUCAUUACAAUGAUAACACAAAUGUGGUGAUUUAAUUGCUAUCUCAAACAAUAAAUAUAAUUCCUACUUUGAGUCUUUUUAAUCUUUUAAUAUUCAAUGUAUUUUAGUCUGUUUUUGAACAAAGUCUUCCAUUGUUAAAAUCACAAUUUAAUGAUUUUUUUCAAAACAUUCCUUAUAACACUAUCAUUUACUUACAAAAAUUGUAUAAAUUUAGUUUAAUAUUUUUCACUAAAUUUCCAAUAAGCUACUUCAUCUAUUAGUGAUCAAA
rnacentral:lncRNA from 1 species